rnacentral:rRNA from 1 species
UACGGAGGGUGCAAGCGUUAUCCGGAUUUACUGGGUUUAAAGGGUGUGUAGGCGGGUCAUUAAGUCAGUGGUGAAAUCUCCGAGCUUAACUUGGAAACUGCCAUUGAUACUAUUGAUCUUGAAUUUUGUUGAGGUAGGCGGAAUAGGUCAUGUAGCGGUGAAAUGCAUAGAUAUGACCUAGAACACCGAUUGCGAAGGCAGCUUGCUAAACAAAUAUUGACGCUGAGGCACGAAAGCGUGGGGAUCAAACAGG